rnacentral:sRNA from 1 species
UCAGCGUUGUCGCUGACGGCUUGGCCUCUA